AGCAGAUUCCACACACUAUACGAGGUCUUUUAGGUUGUAACGGGGCUUGGGUACGGUGGGAUAAACAAAAAAAUGGAUAACAAAGGGUUUUGAACUCGACAGUCAUGUUGUGUGAUUUUUCUUUCUCUUUUUCUCGUGCAUCACGUAUACUCUGGGGGUUAAUUUCACUCUUUUGACUCUUUUUUCUACUUAAUUUUUUUUUUUUGCGAGCAUUUUAUAGGUGUUAAAGUCUUAAGUCUCGGCAAGCGCAUUUUUCUCUUUUGUUUCUCUUUUUUUUCUUGUUGGACAUACACAAUUCUUUUC
rnacentral:lncRNA from 1 species